GAAAGUUCCAAAACGAAAACGUGGAAGACCUCAGAAGAUACCUGUUGAUGGUGAAAGCUACCCGUCUCCUCCACCUAAAAGACAAAGAAAAACUAAGUCUCAAGCUUCCAUUUCAGUGCCUCAAUCCCAACCUGCAUCAUCUACUGUAUCUGGUGCGACCUCUGGCGCGACCUCUACGUUUCCAACAUCAUCUAGUGCACCACCUGCUUCAGCUACGGGACCUCGACGUGGCCGACCACCAGGACGAGGUCAAGGUCGUCCACCAGUCCGAAGACAGCCAUCGAUCCCUAGGGGAGUUGGUAUUUACACAUGUCCUUUCACAAAUCGAGUAUUUGAUGUGAGAGGAAGCAGAGCACGAGAUCUUGGACAAUCUCAGGGACCACGCCAACUCUAGUUUAUUAUCAUGCUAUCUUUUGGAUCCUUCUAGUUUUUAGACUUUGACUAUCUAAAUUAUGAUUUUCUUUUUUCUUGUUUGCGUUAAGAUUCUUUUCGGUUCGUAGACUGAAUUUAGCAUUUCUUCCAUCUAUGUGACAAGUACUUUGGCUUAACAUUUA